rnacentral:misc_RNA from 1 species
CAAUAACAUAUAUGAGGUCAGAAAUUUUUUGGCAAUUAUGGAAGACAUACCCAUGAAAUUGGGUCAUGUGGAUUUACUCCAAAAUGAACCUUUCACGUGUAGAAGUAUUUUUGUGAAUGCUCCACUUGUGAGAGAGAUGAACAUGCCACUGCUUUUGUACUACAACCUGAGGAACCUAAAUCCUGUACAUCAUUUUACUACCUCUGCACAUUCACAAGUUGACUUUCCGAAAGUUGGACGUGGAAAGUAUCAUCUACUUCAGUUGAUGCACAAAUUCCCUAUUCUGCAAAAGCAUCAGUUUCAAGGAAGUCAACAUGCUUCAAAUACAUCAAGCACAUUUACUGAGGCCUUAAUUUUGCCUUGGGAUUUACUUAUUGCUGGCAACAACAUAGAUACCUGUAUUGAAG